ACUCGGCUCAUCACACAGACUAUAUAUAUGGUGGCUACAAGAACAAAAUCCUGAGCGCUAGUUUUAAGAUCAUAUUACAUUUACUGUAUGGGAUAGAGAUCUAUUAUACAUGUCUCUUGCUUUUGUCUAUUCUCCAGAGAACAUUGGGAAUGACACUUUAAGUGUAAAAAUAGAUUCUGAUCAUUUUAAUUCCUUUCCUUCAUUCUCUUCCUCCACCCAUUUAAAAAACAAUUUCUGGAUUUUGGGUCAGCCUUCCCAAUAUGAUCAGGAGUGGGAGGUGUUAACAGUCUCCAACUUACUUUUUUCUUUCCUUUCAGGUUCCUGUUUAUCAUCUGUCCCUUUACCACCAAAAUCUUUUGCAAGCAAAUUGUUUGAUGCAGCCUGGUACAGGAAAGUAAUCUGAAGGCCAAUUGCUUACCAAAAAAGCUUGGAUAAGCGAAGAAUACACGGUCCGGUGGAAGAGAGAUCCCAAGGCAGCACAGGGCCUGUGGAGGACAGCAGUUAUUUACAAGCAUCUUUGGAGCCAGGGCCUAUUUGGAGUGUAACCGAGCAACCAGCCUGAUACAGCAAUGUGAAUUGGUGGGCUUACGACAGGGAAAACUAUUGCCUUGUUAUCGGCAGUAGGACAACUGUGACUUGCUGGGGGAGGCAGGGUUGUCAGUGAACAGGACACCAGACUUGGAGUUAGGCGAUGUGCAGUCUUCUGCCACUGACUUUGGUAAGACUUUUCUGUGUCUCAGGUUCUCCAUCUGUAAAAUGGGGUUAAUGACACUACCCCACCUUUGUAAAGUACUUUGAAACCUAUAGAUAAAAAGUGCUGUGAGGCUGCUGAGUAUUAGUACAAGGGUAAACAUAUGAUUGUACCAGAGAAUAGAAAAUCAUCUAUCAAAGUGCUUUAUAUACCCCAUGUCCUUGAAAACGUGUUGUCGUCUGAAGGCCUGGAGUUGCUUGUAUGAGAGAGAGUCAGUGUUA